GUAUUAAUAUUGUUUCAGAUUAUGUGUGCACGAUUGUGCAGUAUUUUUAAAGUACUUGAAAACAGAUCAUCGACAUAAAAUUGUGCAUUUUUCGAACCUUCGAAGGAAGAGUUCGUCAUAAGUCUCAUUAAACCAGAUUUAGUACGUUGCCAUAUUGUUUGCAUAGAGCGGCCCCUUGGCGUUCAGCAUCAUGACUCAAUGUUUCUGGAUUUGGCACUAUACUGAAACUGAGGGAUACUAACAUUUUGGUCCCUCCUGGCCAAAUUGAGAUGGAUUCAGUGAAGUAAAUUUAGUAGCAGCCACCCAUCAGUGGAAUGGCAGUGACAAGUUUCAACAAAGCAACAAGGAGGUGAUGCUAACAGCAUCAAUACAACGGUACCAUGGGUUUUGUCCAUAUGGCCUGUCUCUCAAGAUGGCUGACAGAAACCAAACGGAAGACUUGUGAGCUUUGUGGGAAAGAGUUCAAACUGAAGCACGAGCUUCGUUACAAUAAACUCAAAAGUAUCAUCAUUUGGAUUUUUUGCACCAAGGCUGCUGAUCGUGGAAUAGACACACUCACUUUGCUUGUACAAUUCUUUUAUGUAAUAUUUUUGGUUCCUUUUGUGUUGGUAUCAAUCUAUUACUGUGUUGUGUAUGGUGAAUACUUUAAUGUGGAAGAGACAGAUGGCAUUAUUGCUUUUCAAUGGCCAUCUAUGUCAGUGAGUGUAAUGGCAUUUGUUCUUGGUGCAUUCUUGUUUUGCUGUGUGUAUUUGACAAUAGACGAUCUAUUCUACUUUUGGUAUCUGUGGUGGCAACAUCAAACAGCUGUCGUAAUUCUGCCUGGGUGACAAUAUGAUGUAAUUUUCUAGUUGCUGAGACUAAACUAAACCUUUUACCUUGAACACAACUUCAGUUCCUUUGUUUAGUUACAUGGGUCCUGAAUGAGCUGUUGCAAAUGAUCUGCAUAAUAAUGUUCUUUUGUUGAAUGAACAUUACCUUGGAUAAAACUGUAGGAAAUAUGAGUGCAGCAUACACUCAGCUGCAGACAGAAAGAUUUGUUAUGUACUAUGGUCAAAACUGAAGCAGGACUUAAAGUAUGGCCAUCACACUUGUUAUGUGGUAGUCCAGUGUGAAAUUUGAAACAGUACAAUAGAUACAUAAAUGAACAUGACUGUUCAGUUUGGUGAGUUGAAUUUUAGCACUGUUGGCUGAAAUAAUGAAAACAUGAAAGUUUUAGAAGUUGAAGUAGUACUAACUCUCUUUGCACUACUGGCAGCGCAUGUUGCAUUCAUCAUCGUAGAAGGUGCCACUUCUUCCACAGCACAUUGCCAGUCCAUUCACAGGGUUUGUUAUUGACUGACUAACAGUCACUUUGUAUGUGACCCUGUUUGUGUGCCUCAGUUGUCAGUGUCAAAUAAUGAUGGGUAAGUAUAACAGCCAGUACCUAAAAAACUCGAUUAGUAGGUCAGUAAAGUGAUACGUUAUGCAGCAUUUAUAUGUGCUCAUGGAGGCUUCACUAAAUACUUUUCAUGUGUCAGUAAUACCAUUGUGUUGU